UUUGCGACCAAUCCAGGACCCG
rnacentral:miRNA from 1 species